rnacentral:rRNA from 1 species
CACGUAGGGACCAAGCGUUGUCCGGAUUCAUUGGGCGUAAAGAGCUCGUAGGCGGCUUGUCGCGUCGGAUGUGAAAGCCCGGGGCUUAACUCCGGGUCUGCAUUCGAUACGGGCAGGCUAGAGUUCGGUAGGGGAGAUCGGAAUUCCUGGUGUAGCGGUGAAAUGCGCAGAUAUCAGGAGGAACACCGGUGGCGAAGGCGGAUCUCUGGGCCGAUACUGACGCUGAGGAGCGAAAGCGUGGGGAGCGAACAGG